rnacentral:rRNA from 1 species
UACAGAGGUCCCAAGCGUUGUUCGGAUUCACUGGGCGUAAAGGGUGCGUAGGUGGUGAGGUAAGUCGGAUGUGAAAUCUCCGAGCUCAACUCGGAAAUGGCAUUGGAAACUACCUUGCUUGAGGGUUGGAGGGGGGACUGGAAUACUUGGUGUAGCAGUGAAAUGCGUAGAUAUCAAGUGGAACACCGGUGGCGAAGGCGGCGACCUGGUCCGAUACUGACGCUGAGGCGCGAAAGCGUGGGGAGCAAACAGG